GACGAACGCUGGCGGCGUGCUUAACACAUGCAAGUCGAACGGAAAGGCCCUGCUUUUGUGGGGUGCUCGAGUGGCGAACGGGUGAGUAACACGUGAGUAACCUGCUCUUGACUUUGGGAUAACUUCAGGAAACUGGGGCUAAUACCGGAUAGGAGCUCCUGCUGCAUGGUGGGGGUUGGAAAGUUUCGGCGGUUGGGGAUGGACUCGCGGCUUAUCAGCUUGUUGGUGGGGUAGUGGCUUACCAAGGCUUUGACGGUUAGCCGGCCUGAGAGGGUGACCGGCCACAUUGGGACUGAGAUACGGCCCAGACUCCUACGGGAGGCAGCAGUGGAGAAUAUUGCACAAUGGGCGGAAGCCUGAUGCAGCAACGCCGCGUGCGGGAUGACGGCCUUCGGGUUGUAAACCGCUUUCGCCUGUGACGAAGCGUGAGUGACGGUAAUGGGUAAAGAAGCACCGGCUAACUACGUG
rnacentral:rRNA from 1 species